UCCGUAGGUGAACCUGCGGAGGGAUCAUUACUGAGUGAGGGCGCAAGCCCGACCUCCAACCCCAUGUUUUCAACCAUGUUGCCUCGGGGGCGACCCGGCCAUCGCGCCGGGGCCCCCGGUGGACCCCUCCAACUCUGCAUCUUUGCGUCUGAGUCACAAAAUGAAAUCAAUCAAAACUUUCAACAACGGAUCUCUUGGUUCUGGCAUCGAUGAAGAACGCAGCGAAAUGCGAUAAGUAAUGUGAAUUGCAGAAUUCAGUGAAUCAUCGAAUCUUUGAACGCACAUUGCGCCCUCUGGUAUUCCGGAGGGCAUGCCUGUUCGAGCGUCAUUACACCACUCCAGCCUCGCUGGGUAUUGGGCGCCGCGGCCUCCGCGCGCCUUAAUGUCUCCGGCCGAGCCGACCGUCUCCAAGCGUUGUGGCACAACUGUUUCGCUUUCGGGACCGGUCCGGCGACGCGCCGUUAAACCCUUUCACCAAAGGUUGACCUCGGAUCAGGUAGGGAUACCCGCUGAACUUAAGCAU
rnacentral:rRNA from 1 species